UGCAUCGAACUGCUUCCCUCACUUUCGAUCAGUUGUUGCUCCACGAGAUAAACGUUGGACGCAAGACAUGGGUUCCUGUGUUGCAUACCUAUUGCGACGGAAAUGUGUGCCUUCGAUCGUCCCUUCCAUCACGGCGUCCUCACGGAUGCUCGGUUGGACCGGAUAGUGGGGCUCGUGUUCCACGGACGUCGUCUCAUUCGACCGUUCGGAUGGACCACGGGUGCCCACUCGUUCUCUCGGAUUCGGAAAUCUCUUGAUGGGCGUGGGGUCAUUGGCCCUUGGUCCCUAAUCGUUAAGCGUUUAUCGCUUCACCGGAAUGACGAUCUCGCCUUGUCCUUGACCACGCGAAGCCCUCGGGCAUCGCGACGGAUCAUGCUCGGCGGACGUCGUGAAGGAAUGC
rnacentral:misc_RNA from 2 species